CUAAUCGCAGAGGCUCUUAGGGAGAGUAAGAGGGAAAUGGGAAAUGCUACCAGAGGUAUAGAGAAGGAAAUUGGAGCGUUGCAAUUAGAAGAAAAGAAGCUUGUUGCUGAGAUAAAGAGGACGGCUAAAACUGGAAAUAAGGAGGUCUAGUAGCAUCAAUGAUAAAAGACAAUGAAUCCAUGCUAUACAGAGACAAAAACUAAUGAGGAUGAAAAAACCUUUCAAGGAAUAAUGGAAUA